UUGGAGAGUUUGAUCCUGGCUCAGGACGAACGCUGGCGGCGUGCUUAACACAUGCAAGUCGAACGGAAAGGUCUCUUCGGAGAUACUCGAGUGGCGAACGGGUGAGUAACACGUGGGCGAUCUGCCCUGCACUUCGGGAUAAGCCUGGGAAACUGGGUCUAAUACCGGAUAGGACCACGGGAUUCAUGUCCUGUGGUGGAAAGCUUUUGCGGUGUGGGAUGGGCCCGCGGCCUAUCAGCUUGUUGGUGGGGUAACGGCCUACCAAGGCGACGACGGGUAGCCGGCCUGAGAGGGUGUCCGGCCACACUGGGACUGAGAUACGGCCCAGACUCCUACGGGAGGCAGCAGUGGGGAAUAUUGCACAAUGGGCGCAAGCCUGAUGCAGCGACGCCGCGUGGGGGAUGACGGCCUUCGGGUUGUAAACCUCUUUCACCAUCGACGAAGGUUCGGGUUUUCGGAUUGACGGUAGGUGGAGAAGAAGCACCGGCCAACUACGUGCCAGCAGCCGCGGUAAUACGUAGGGUGCGAGCGUUGUCCGGAAUUACUGGGCGUAAAGAGCUCGUAGGUGGUUUGUCGCGUUGUUCGUGAAAUCUCACGGCUUAACUGUGAGCGUGCGGGCGAUACGGGCAGACUAGAGUACUGCAGGGGAGACUGGAAUUCCUGGUGUAGCGGUGGAAUGCGCAGAUAUCAGGAGGAACACCGGUGGCGAAGGCGGGUCUCUGGGCAGUAACUGACGCUGAGGAGCGAAAGCGUGGGGAGCGAACAGGAUUAGAUACCCUGGUAGUCCACGCCGUAAACGGUGGGUACUAGGUGUGGGUUUCCUUCCUUGGGAUCCGUGCCGUAGCUAACGCAUUAAGUACCCCGCCUGGGGAGUACGGCCGCAAGGCUAAAACUCAAAGGAAUUGACGGGGGCCCGCACAAGCGGCGGAGCAUGUGGAUUAAUUCGAUGCAACGCGAAGAACCUUACCUGGGUUUGACAUGCACAGGACGCGUCUAGAGAUAGGCGUUCCCUUGUGGCCUGUGUGCAGGUGGUGCAUGGCUGUCGUCAGCUCGUGUCGUGAGAUGUUGGGUUAAGUCCCGCAACGAGCGCAACCCUUGUCUCAUGUUGCCAGCACGUAAUGGUGGGGACUCGUGAGAGACUGCCGGGGUCAACUCGGAGGAAGGUGGGGAUGACGUCAAGUCAUCAUGCCCCUUAUGUCCAGGGCUUCACACAUGCUACAAUGGCCGGUACAAAGGGCUGCGAUGCCGCGAGGUUAAGCGAAUCCUUUAAAGCCGGUCUCAGUUCGGAUCGGGGUCUGCAACUCGACCCCGUGAAGUCGGAGUCGCUAGUAAUCGCAGAUCAGCAACGCUGCGGUGAAUACGUUCCCGGGCCUUGUACACCGCCCGUCACGUCAUGAAAGUCGGUAACACCCGAAGCCAGUGGCCUAACCCUUUGGGAGGGAGCUGUCGAAGGUGGGAUCGGCGAUUGGGACGAAGUCGUAACAAGGUAGCCGUACCGGAAGGUGCGGCUGGAUCACCUCCUUU
rnacentral:rRNA from 1 species